UUAAAGGGAUUCUAUGGUGCCAGGAAAACAAAGCUGUUUUCCUGGCACUAUAGGUUCCAACAGUUCCCCUCUCCCUUGCGCUCCCCUUACCGCAGCGCUGCAGGGGUUAAAACCCCUUCAGUAACUUACCUGAAUCCAGCGCCAAUGUACAUUGGCGCUGGAUCGAUCUCCGCCCACGCCGUCAGCCAAUGGAGGGAGACCUAAUGCGCAUGCGCGGCAAUGGCUGCGCUUGCGCUAGGAUUUUCCCCAAAGGAAAGCAUUGAUUUCGGUGAUGCUGGAGGUCCUCAUGCAUAGCGUGAGAAUG